AGGGAAUAUAUUUUAAGUUUUUAGGUCAUCAGGCACCCACCUGGAGAACGAGGGAAUUUAUUUCAAGUUUUUAAUUCAUCAGGCACCCACCUGGAGAAUGAGGGAAUAUAUUUCAAGUUUUUAUGUCAUCAGGCGCCCACCUGGAGAACGAGGGAAUUCAUUUCAGUUUAAAGUCAUCAGGCGCCCACCUGGAGAACGAGGGAAGUCACUUAAGAAUUCAACCAAGUUAGAAGUAGCAAAAGUUCGCCUCGAGAAUGCGAGUUGACAGUCCGAGAUAACCAAAGGAAGAAGUCUCAAUCCAGAAUAAAAGGAAAAGGGUGAAUCCAAAAUGCAGAAGCCGAUGAAAGAUGUGAACUGCUCGAGACAUGGCUGAAGUCACAAGCUUUGCAUGUCCCGUCUUGAUCCGAAAAGCUGAAGAAGAGAGAACUAGCACUUGCAACUAGCAAACAUCAAGGUUUAAGUCAAAAGUCUGCAUGAAGAACCAUUCAAGACUCAAGAUCAAGCUUCAGAAGACUUAUAGAUAGGAAUCUUGUAACUCAUAGCUGACAGGCUUAGUUAGUCUUUUUUAUUUUUUUGAUUUUGAUGUAAUAACAGGAUCGCGGACCAGAACCUCGACGGAACGGCACCUCACUCGACUCUCUCAUCCUCUCCACACACUCCAUCCCUUCAUUCACCUCUUGAACUACACGCGACCUGAUUCCCUUAUAACCCGGGAUAUGUAGGUUGUCCAAAGUUAGGACUCGGUUGCACCUUUUCCCUUUUAUUUUCUUCCUCUUUUGAAUAACGUUGUGGUCAAAAAUUAGUCACACGGCUCACUUUGUCUUUGCCUGAA
rnacentral:lncRNA from 1 species